AUUGCUUCUCUGCCUUUUGGCUAAGAUCAAGUGAAAUUUAUUAGUAUUUAAAUAUAGUUUUUAAAACUAAAAAUGAUAAUAUCUAUUUUAAUAUGGUGUAAAGCAGCUUUUAAGCCACUUUAUGCUGUUGACUUAAUUCAUUUUUGCAUGAAAUUCAGCAAGCAAUU
ensembl:snRNA U2 U2 spliceosomal RNA